GACGUAGGGCGCGAGCGUUGUCCGGAUUUAUUGGACGUAAAGAGCUCGUAGGCGGCUUGUCGCGUCGUCCGUGAAAACCUGCAGCUCAACUGCAGGCUUGCGGUCGAUACGGGCAGGCUAGAGUUCGGUAGGGGAGACUGGAAUUCCUGGUGUAGCGGUGAAAUGCGCAGAUAUCAGGAGGAACACCGGUGGCGAAGGCGGGUCUCUGGGCCGAUACUGACGCUGAGGAGCGAAAGCGUGGGGAGCGAACAGG
rnacentral:rRNA from 1 species